rnacentral:lncRNA from 1 species
CAUUAUCUGCUACAGAUGAAAUAGUUCAGCAAUUUAAUGAUGAACAAUCAAUUCACAAGAAAAAUUGAGCCAUUUAAAGCCAAUAAAAACAAUUUAUAGCACCCACAAGUUAUGUCUUUUCCAGUACUUCUGUUUUAAUUACUGCAGUUGGGAAUUGAAGAUAAAGGACUAUGCAGUUUUCCAUAUUAUAAACCUAUUGACUAAAUUCAUGCCAUGGUACACCUAUUUAUCACAUCUACAGACAGUUGUUCAUAUGUAGACAAUGUCGAAAAACAAAUCUGGGUAGACUUUACUACUCUAGACAACCACCAUGAAGACGAGUUUAAGAACAAUAAAUUUCCAACAUAUCGUUUAUUUUCUUGCACAUUCAUUAAUGCUUAAAGCUGUGAACUCAUAUGACCUGUUCACUUUUCUAUUUCAUUUUAAAAUUCUAAAUUUCAUUAGUUUUUCUAUAUAUACAGCUCCAGCAAUUUUGUUAACAUUUGUUUCCCCACAACAGUUUCAAGAAAAGCUUCAAAUGAUAAAUAAAUCCACCAAAAUAAAGCUAAAAUCAUCCAAAGAUUCAGUCAACAAAUCUGUGAUACAUAGAACUUAUUAGCUAAUAUAAGGGGAAAUGACAUACAAGAAAUACUUAACAUUAGAAAAGGGCUACCCAGAAAAAUUAAAAAAGAUCAUCUCUAUCAGGAUCAAACAACAAUAAUAUUCCAGCUUAUGAAAAGAAAAAAUCAACAAACUGUACUGUUAUAAGAAAAGCCCAAAAGGGAAAAAAAUAUCAGCAAAUAUGAUGUCAUAUUUCAAUCAGUAGCAGAAGAAACAAAACCCAGAAAGGAAGACCAUCUUAAAGGCUACUGUGAACAUUCAAAAAGAAGAAAGACAAUACUACAUAAAGUUUCUACCUUUAAACAAAAUAUGCUCAAACAUAAAAUGAAAAGGCACACAUGUACGGAAAAGAAAAGAGAUGAAGCAGCAACCUGAAACAAGAUCAGCAGCAAAAAAAAGGAAGCUAAAUCUUCAUUGAAGAAAGAAGAAGAAGAAGAAGAAGAUGGGUGUUAUUUCAGGGUGAAGGGGCAAAAAUUGAGAAAGUUGAAAACUUUGAAAGGAAAAAGAGAAAACCCCAGAAGUAAUUACUACUACUUUAGAGAGAGAAAAGGGGGAAUGUGUGAAAUUGAAUGAGGGAAGUGGAACAAGGGAGUUGAGGGGGGGAAAUCACGCACUGUUCUUUUCCUCUGUAUGUCUUUCUGUCUCUCUCUGUAUAUAAAUUUCCUGUGUUUGUGGAACUCCAAAUUGGCGGAAAAAAAGGAAAG